GAGUGCGGUAGGGGAGACUGGAAUUCCUGGUGUAGCGGUGGAAUGCGCAGAUAUCAGGAGGAACACCGAUGGCGAAGGUAGGUCUCUGGGCCCGCAACUGACGCUGAGGAGCGAAAGCAUGGGGAGCGAACAGGAUUAGAUACCCUCGGUAGUCCAUGCCGUAAACGUUGGGCACUAGGGUGUGGGGCUCAUUCCACGAGUCUCCGUGCCGCAGCAAACGCAUUAAGUGCCCCGCCUGGGGAGUACGGCCGCAAGGCUAAAACUUAAAGGA
rnacentral:rRNA from 1 species